GACGAACGCUGGCGGCGUGCUUAACACAUGCAAGUCGAACGGUAAGGCCCUUCGGGGUACACGAGUGGCGAACGGGUGAGUAACACGUGGGUGAUCUGCCCUGCACUUCGGGAUAAGCGUGGGAAACUGGGUCUAAUACCGGAUAGGACCACUGCCUGCAUGGGCGGUGGGGGAAAGCUUUUGCGGUGUGGGAUGGGCCCGCGGCCUAUCAGCUUGUUGGUGGGGUGAUGGCCUACCAAGGCGGCGACGGGUAGCCGGGCUGAGAGGGUGACCGGCCACACUGGGACUGAGAUACGGCCCAGACUCCUACGGGAGGCAGCAGUGGGGAAUAUUGCACAAUGGGCGCAAGCGUGAUGCAGCGACGCCGCGUGAGGGAUGACGGCCUUCGGGUUGUAAACCUCUUUCAGCACCGACGAAGCGAAAGUGACGGUAGAUGCAGAAGAAGGACCGGCCAACUACGUGCCAGCCGCCGCAGUAA
rnacentral:rRNA from 1 species